rnacentral:rRNA from 1 species
AGAGUUUGAUUCUGGCUCAGNNNNNNCGCUGGCGGCAUGCUUUACACAUGCAAGUCGAGCGGCAGCGCGGGGGCAACCCUGGCGGCGAGCGGCGAACGGGUGAGUAAUACAUCGGAACGUGUCCCGUAGUGGGGGAUAGCCCGGCGAAAGCCGGAUUAAUACCGCAUAUGCUCUACGGAGGAAAGUGGGGGACUCGCAAGGGCCUCACGCUAUGGGAGCGGCCGAUGUCCGAUUAGCUUGUUGGCGGGGUAAUGGCCCACCAAGGCGACGAUCGGUAGCUGGUCUGAGAGGAUGAUCAGCCACACUGGGACUGAGACACGGCCCAGACUCCUACGGGAGGCAGCAGUGGGGAAUUUUGGACAAUGGGGGGAACCCUGAUCCAGCCAUGCCGCGUGCGGGAAGAAGGCCUUCGGGUUGUAAACCGCUUUUGGUCGGAAAGAAAAGGCGCACCCUAAUACGGGGCGUUCUUGACGGUACCGGCAGAAUAAGCACCGGCUAACUACGUGCCAGCAGCCGCGGUAAUACGUAGGGUGCGAGCGUUAAUCGGAAUUACUGGGCGUAAAGCGUGCGCAGGCGGUUCUCCAAGUCCGUUGUGAAAGCCCCGGGCUCAACCUGGGAAUGGCAGUGGAAACUANNGGACUUGAAUCUGGCAGAGGGGGGUGGAAUUCC